GCCAGGCAUGGUGGCGUGUGCUUGUAGUCCCAGGUACUCAGGAGGCUGAGGCAGGAGAAUUGCUUGAACCCAGGAGGCGGAGGUUGCAGUGAGCCGAGAUUGCGCCACUGCACUCCACCCUGGGUGACAGAGCGAGACUCUGUCUCAA
ensembl:misc_RNA Metazoa_SRP Metazoan signal recognition particle RNA